rnacentral:rRNA from 1 species
GACGAACGCUGGCGGCGUGCCUAAUACAUGCAAGUCGAACGAGAGCGACCGGUGCUUGCACUGGUCAAUCUAGUGGCGAACGGGUGAGUAACACGUGGGUAACCUGCCCAUCAGAGGGGGAUAACAUCCGGAAACGGAUGCUAAAACCGCAUAGGUCUUCGAACCGCAUGGUUUGAAGAGGAAAAGAGGCGCAAGCUUCUGCUGAUGGAUGGACCCGCGGUGCAUUAGCUAGUUGGUGAGGUAACGGCUCACCAAGGCCGUGAUGCAUAGCCGACCUGAGAGGGUGAUCGGCCACAUUGGGACUGAGACACGGCCCAAACUCCUACGGGAGGCAGCAGUAGGGAAUCUUCCGCAAUGGACGCAAGUCUGACGGAGCAACGCCGCGUGAGUGAAGAAGGUUUUCGGAUCGUAAAACUCUGUUGUUAGAGAAGAACAAGUGCUAGAGUAACUGUUAGCGCCUUGACGGUAUCUAACCAGAAAGCCACGGCUAACUGCGUG